UAAGGAAUAUUGGUCAAUGGACGCAAGUCUGAACCAGCCAUGCCGCGUGGAGGAUGAAGGUCCUCUGGAUUGUAAACUUCUUUUAUCUGGGACGAAAACGGGAUUUUUAUCUCAAUUGACGGUACCAGAGGAAUAAGCACCGGCUAACUCCGUGCCAGCAGCCGCGGUAAUACGGAGGGUGCGAGCGUUAUCCGGAUUUACUGGGUUUAAAGGGUGCGUAGGUGGGCUUAUAAGUCAGUGGUGAAAUCUCCGAGCUUAACUUGGAAACUGCCGUUGAUACUAUAGGUCUUGAAUUAUCUGGAGGUAAGCGGAAUAUGUCAUGUAGCGGUGAAAUGCUUAGAUAUGACAUAGAACACCAAUUGCGAAGGCAGCUUACUACAUAUAAAUUGACGCUGAGGCACGAAAGCGUGGGGAUCAAACA
rnacentral:rRNA from 1 species